rnacentral:rRNA from 1 species
GACAGAGGGUGCAAACGUUGUUCGGAAUUACUGGGCGUAAAGCGAGUGUAGGCGGUGUGGUAAGUCGGAUGUGAAAGCCCCGGGCUCAACCCGGGAAGUGCAUUCGAUACUGCCACGCUAGAGUAUCGGAGAGGUUGGUGGAAUUCUCGGUGUAGAGGUGAAAUUCGUAGAUAUCGAGAGGAACACCGGUGGCGAAGGCGGCCAACUGGACGAAUACUGACGCUGAGGAGCGAAAGCGUGGGGAGCGAACAGG